GAGCUCAAAGGGAAGAGAGAACUACCAGACUGGUCAGAAAAAAACCAAAUUACCUCUGUAACAGGGGGAAGGGCUGGUUUUGCAUCUGUGUGAGUUGGGGUCCAGCUGUCUUGAAAGGACACCAGGGUUCUGGUGCACAGCAAGUUGAAGGAGCCAAGUGUGCACAGCCAAAGAGUCCUGCAAUGUAAUGAAAAAAUGUUGCUUGGUUCUCAAUGAAUUCUGUGGAAGUACCAGAGGAAAAGAGU